UCCUAAGUCCUGGGUGCGUAACAGCAGUUCCUUCAGUCCAGUUUCCUGCUUCACCCAGUGAGAAACCAGAUGUCUCUGGGAAGCCCAUGAACACUUCAUGACGGAAAAGCACCCCAUGUUCCUUCAUACAUGUGGGAUUGUCGAAAGCUGCCAUUUCAAUGAACAGUAUUAGCAGGAAGGAGGACUUGGAGAAAUGUGCUCUUAUGCUGAGAUGAUUAAGGAUGCAAUAUUAUUGUACACCUAAAUUAACAUUUCCUUCAAGUCAAGCCCAAGUUCUGGUGACUUCAUGGAAAGGAACUGACAGAUCUAAACAAGGAGAGGUUGGAGGCCAAAACAUAGCGUGCAGACUUCUGAGAAUCAGCAGAGAUACCAUGACCUGAAUAGUAUAAAGAAUAAAACACGGUGUUGAAACGCUGGGAUUCUUCAACAAAGAGCUUUUUAGAAGCUCCAAACUCCCUUUCAUCCAGGAGAGGACCACUUUAUCUUUCUCUCCACUUUUCUUCCUUUUCUUAGGCAUUUUGUAUGCGUGUGAAUAAAUGUGUAUGC